rnacentral:lncRNA from 1 species
UUCAAGAAGCACAAGAAGAUGCUUGUGCAACUCUCCUCUAUCACAUAGCUAGACAUUUUGUAGGAGAACCAAAACUCUUCCAAGACCGAAGUCUAGAAAUCCUUAACAACCUUCGCUGCAAAAAUCUUGCAGACUUCAGAUGGUAUAAGGAUACCUUCCUAAUCAAAGUUAUGAUCCGCCCUGACUGCAAUAAUGACUUCUGGAAAGAAAGAUUCAUUAGUGGUCUUCCCCCAUUAUUUGCGGACAAAGUUCGAACAAAGCUUAAGGAUAGAUUUGAAGGACAAAUUCCUUAUAACAUACUCACCUACGGAGACUUAGUAAGUUUCAUUACCACUACAGGCAUAGAACUCUGUACAGACCUUAAGCUUAAACAACAACUUAAGCAGAAUCAUAAGUAUGGUCUGACAACUUUCUGCCAUGAUUAUGGCUUUACUGAUCUCCAUGACGAUAAGAGGCAUAAAAGAAUGCCUCCCAAACGUCACAAACGGUCCUA